UACGUAGGUGGCAAGCGUUGUCCGGAUUUAUUGGGUUUAAAGGGUGCGUAGGCGGUCUAUUAAGUCAGUUGUGAAAUACGGCAGCUCAACUGUCGAGGUGCAAUUGAUACUGAUGGACUUGAGUACUGAUGAGGUAAGCGGAAUGGACGGUGUAGCGGUGAAAUGCUUAGAUAUCGUCCAGAACACCGAUAGCGAAGGCAGCUUACUAAGGAGUAACUGACGCUGAGGCACGAAAGCGUGGGGAUCAAACAGG
rnacentral:rRNA from 1 species